UACGUAGGGUGCAAGCGUUGUCCGGAAUUAUUGGGCGUAAAGCGUGCGCAGGCGGUUGUGCAAGACAGAUGUGAAAGCCCCGGGCUCAACCUGGGAACGGCAUUUGUGACUGCACGGCUAGAGUGUGUCAGAGGGGGUAGAAUUCCACGUGUAGCAGUGAAAUGCGUAGAUAUGCGGAGGAACACCGAUGGCGAAGGCAAUCCCC
rnacentral:rRNA from 1 species